AGAGUUUGAUCCUGGCUCAGAACGAACGCUGGCGGCAGGCCUAACACAUGCAAGUCGAACGGGGACCUUCGGGUCUUACGUGGCGCACGGGUGAGUAACGCGUGGGAAUCUACCCCAAAGUCGGGGAUAACCGCUGGAAACGGCGGCUAAUACCGGAUACGCCCUGCGGGGCAAAGCUUUUGCGCUUUGGGAGGAGCCCGCGUCCGAUUAGCUAGUUGGUGGGGUAAAGGCCUACCAAGGCUGCGAUCGGUAGCUGGUCUGAGAGGAUGAUCAGCCACACUGGGACUGAGACACGGCCCAGACUCCUACGGGAGGCAGCAGUGGGGAAUCUUGGACAAUGGGGGCAACCCUGAUCCAGCCAUGCCGCGUGGGUGAAGAAGGCCUUAGGGUUGUAAAGCCCUUUCGGCGGGGAAGAUGAUGACGGUACCCGCAGAAGAAGCCCCGGCUAACUCCGUGCCAGCAGCCGCGGUAAUACGGAGGGGGCUAGCGUUGUUCGGAAUCACUGGGCGUAAAGGGCGCGUAGGCGGACCACCAAGUCAGGGGUGAAAGCCCUGGGCUCAACCUAGGAAGUGCCCUUGAAACUGAUGGUCUUGAGUCCGGGAGAGGAGAGCGGAAUUCCCAGUGUAGAGGUGAAAUUCGUAGAUAUUGGGAAGAACACCGGUGGCGAA
rnacentral:rRNA from 1 species